CAGCAGCCACGGUAAGACAGAGGAUGCAAGCGUUAUCCGGAAUGAUUGGGCGUAAAGCGUCUGUAGGUGGCUUUUCAAGUCCGCCGUCAAAUCCCAGGGCUCAACCCUGGACAGGCGGUGGAAACUACCAAGCUGGAGUACGGUAGGGGCAGAGGGAAUUUCCGGUGUAGCGGUGAAAUGCGUAGAUAUCGGAAGGAACACCUGUGGCGAAAGCACUCUGCUGGGCCGACGCUGACACUGAGAGACGAAAGCUAGGGGAGCAAAUGGGAUUAGAUACCCCCGUAGUCCCUGUCUCUUAUAC
rnacentral:rRNA from 1 species